rnacentral:tRNA from 1 species
ACUUGGAUAAUUUAAAUUAAAAUAUUGAUUUGUGGGGUCAAUUAUAUGGGCAACCAUUUUAAGUA